GAUCCUGGCUCAGGAUGAACGCUGGCGGCGUGCCUAACACAUGCAAGUCGAACGAAGCAAUUAAGAGGAAGUUUUCGGAUGGAAUCUUGGUUGACUGAGUGGCGGACGGGUGAGUAACGCGUGGAUAACCUGCCUCACACUGGGGGAUAACAGUUAGAAAUGACUGCUAAUACCGCAUAAGCGCACGCUACCGCAUGGUAGUGUGUGAAAAACUCCGGUGGUGUGAGAUGGAUCCGCG
rnacentral:rRNA from 1 species